ACAAAUCAGUAAUCCAAAGAAAGCAUAUCGAUAAUGGCGUAACAAUAGUGCCAUGAAUCACUACACAAACCAACACUCCUGAGGCAUUUAAUGAUGCCAAUGUCUUUCAUAUCAUUUAACAGUUUAAUAGCAAAGACCAAGAAACGUGAGAAACGGACCUCUAUGAACUCAGGUUUGAAAUGAAGCUCGAUAACGAAAUUUCGAAUUACAGAAAUCUCGCCGGAGACCUCGACGGAUUUUCGGAUCUCGAACAGCAACUCCAACGUUUGAAAUCAAAAAAAAACUAAAGAAUGGACUAACUUCUCAUUAUAUAUUCUGAAUUUGAAAUCAAAUAUGAACCAACCCAAAUGAAAUCAAACGCCAAAACCACCAUUUUCUUUAGCUAAUUUUCUGCCCAGAUUUUCUCUUUUAUUUUUUUCCGAUUCUUAUGUGUGUGUUAGUUACUCUUCUUUUCUUGUGUUUGAGGUGGCUGAUGGGAGGUGAAAGAAAAGGGGUGAUGUUGGAUCUGUUUUGUGUUAAGCCAAAGCCAUAGAAAUGUUGCUUUGUUUUCCCAGAAGAAAAAACGAUCGAGGAGGGGGGUCUGGUUUGAGGAAGACGACGACAAGAAGAGGGAUGGGGUCCGGUCUGCCAAGCUCCAAAAACGGUGCUGUUGCUCUCUCAAAAUCAGAGAAUGAAAAUGAUCAAAAUUUUCGGAGAAAAAAUGAGAUUUUGUUCCCCAAUAUCUGAUUCAACAUCCCACAAGAAGGUUACCAAUGGUUCAGCAGCAAAAAUGGCAGCGGAGAACAAAACAAAAUUACGUAAUGACUCUUUGAAACAAGCCAAAUUUGAGAAAUCAUUGAAAGAAACAACACUUCCCUGUUGUGGAAAACAGGAAAAAACAUUUGGCUGACGCUUCCUGUCUUAAGGGAAAGGGGGUCGUUGCAAGUAAAAGCUUGGAUACACAGGAAGAAAAGAUAAUGUUCGAUGUAUUCCUCUGUAUUUGAGUCUUCAUACACUUAUUAUUACCUUCUCCAAUGGGGUUUUAAUGUUGUAUCUUAUUGUAUAUAUAUUUGCGCAAUAGUUGAUACAUAGCUUCCUCGUGUUAUUUGUUGAUUUGAGUUAUAUGUAUGUUGAUG